UGGGGAAUAUUGCACAAUGGGCGAAAGCCUGAUGCAGCAAUACCGCGUGUGUGAAGAAGGCCUGCGGGUUGUAAAGCACUUUCAGUAGGAAAGAUAAUGACGGUACCUACAGAAGAAGCACCGGCUAACUCCGUGCCAGCAGCCGCGGUAAUACGGAGGGUGCGAGCGUUAAUCGGAAUUACUGGGCGUAAAGCGCGCGUAGGCGGCUUAUUAAGUCGGAUGUGAAAUCCCUGGGCUCAACCUAGGAACUGCAUCCGAUACUGAUAGGCUAGAGUAUGGAAGAGGGAAGCGGAAUUCCGGGUGUAGCGGUGAAAUGCGUAGAGAUCCGGAGGAACAUCAGUGGCGAAGGCGGCUUCCUGGUCCAAUACUGACGCUGAGGUGCGAAAGCGUGGGGAGCAAACAGG
rnacentral:rRNA from 1 species